AAGGAGCUUGCUCCUUGAUUUAGCGGCGGACGGGUGAGUAAUGCCUAGGAAUCUGCCUGGUAGUGGGGGAUAACGUUCCGAAAGGAACGCUAAUACCGCAUACGUCCUACGGGAGAAAGCAGGGGACCUUCGGGCCUUGCGCUAUCAGAUGAGCCUAGGUCGGAUUAGCUAGUUGGUGAGGUAAUGGCUCACCAAGGCGACGAUCCGUAACUGGUCUGAGAGGAUGAUCAGUCACACUGGAACUGAGACACGGUCCAGACUCCUACGGGAGGCAGCAGUGGGGAAUAUUGGACAAUGGGCGAAAGCCUGAUCCAGCCAUGCCGCGUGUGUGAAGAAGGUCUUCGGAUUGUAAAGCACUUUAAGUUGGGAGGAAGGGCAUUAACCUAAUACGUUAGUGUUUUGACGUUACCGACAGAAUAAGCACCGGCUAACUUCGUGCCAGCAGCCGCGGUAAUACGAAGGGUGCAAGCGUUAAUCGGAAUUACUGGGCGUAAAGCGCGCGUAGGUGGUUCGUUAAGUUGGAUGUGAAAGCCCCGGGCUCAACCUGGGAACUGCAUCCAAAACUGGCGAGCUAGAGUACGGUAGAGGGUGGUGGAAUUUCCUGUGUAGCGGUGAAAUGCGUAGAUAUAGGAAGGAACACCAGUGGCGAACGCGACCACCUGGACUGAUACUGACACUGAGGUGCGAAAGCGUGGGGAGCAAACAGGAUUAGAUACCCUG
rnacentral:rRNA from 1 species